UACGGAGGGUGCAAUCAUUGAUCGGAUUUACUGGGCGUAAAGGGCGCGCAGGCGGUCGGAUAAGUCAGAUGUGAAAUUCCGGGGCUCAACCUCGGAGCUGCAUUUGAAACUAUCAGACUAGAGUACAGUUAGGGAAAAUGGAAUUCCACGUGUAGCGGUGAAAUGCGUAGAUAUGUGGAAGAACACCGGUGGUGAAGACGAUUUUCUGGGCUGUAACUGACGCUGAGGCGCGAAAGCUAGGGGAGAAAACAGG
rnacentral:rRNA from 1 species